rnacentral:rRNA from 1 species
GAUGAACGCUGGCGGCGUGCCUAAUACAUGCAAGUCGAGCGAACAGACGAGGAGCUUGCUCCUCUGACGUUAGCGGAGGACGGGUGAGUAACACGUGGAUACCCUACCUAUAAGACUGGGAUAACUUCGGGAAACCGGAGCUAAUACCGGAUAACAUGUUGAACCGCAUGGUUCAACAGUGAAAGACGGUCUUGCUGUCUCUUAUAGAUGGAUCCGCGCCGCAUUAGCUAGUUGGUAAGGUAACGGCUUACCAAGGCAACGAUGCGUAGCCGAACUGAGAGGGUGGUAGGCCACACUGGAACUGGGACACGGUCCAGACUCCUACGGGAGGCAGCAGUAGGGAAUCGGCCGCAAUGGGCGAAAGCCUGACGGAGCAACGCCGCGUGAGUGAAGAAGGUCUUCGGAUCGUAAAACUCUGUUAUUAGGGAAGAACAAAUGUGUAAUUAACUAUGCACGUCUUGACGGUACCUGAUCAGAAAGCCACGGCUAACUACGUG